rnacentral:lncRNA from 1 species
UGAUGGAAUUUACAUAUAUGUCAGUCUCCUUUUAGGGUUAUGCUCUUGAGACUACUUGUCAUGUUCUCAACUGAAUUUCAAAUUAAUCAGUUGCAAAGACUCCAUACAAGAUAUCGACUAGGCAUAAAUUGAUACUUUCUUACCUUAAGAUUUCAGAGUGUUUGUUUUAUGUCAAGCAUUUGCAGAUCGAUUAGAAUAGAUUUCGAUCUUAUAUGUAUUAUUUUGUAGGGUAACCCUAAAGAAUGGGAAAUAUAACUUCUACCUUGCUAAAGAAUAAGAGUUGUUUGGCAUUUC